rnacentral:lncRNA from 1 species
GUGAAGGCUUAGCAAUCUUCCUACCGCUGUCCAACUCACCCCACAACAGUACAGGAGCAAAUGGAGGCUCCAGAGAAAGGAGCUACAUUGGAGAUGGUGGAUUCCAUGUGCUCAGGAUAUACUUCAAGCCAGGUAACAUGAAAAGCCAGCAUGAUUUCCUUAUGUGGUUGGUAAAAUUGCCCUUUACAACACUGGCAUCCACGUCUAACAAUUUUACAAUGGAUAUUAUAAUGACUUGUCAUCCUACCUGCACUCUAUGACUUGAGAAGGUACAGGACAU